AGAGUUUGAUCAUGGCUCAGAUUGAACGCUGGCGGCAGGCCUAACACAUGCAAGUCGAGCGGAAACGAGAAUAGCUUGCUAUUCGGCGUCGAGCGGCGGACGGGUGAGUAAUGCCUGGGAAAUUGCCCUGAUGUGUGGGAUAACCAUUGGAAACGAUGGCUAAUACCGCAUAAUAGCUUCGGCUUAAAGAGGGGGACCUUCGGGCCUCUCGCUUCAGGAUAUGCCCAGGUGGGAUUAGCUAGUUGGUGAGGUAAAGGCUCACCAAGGCGACGAUCCCUAGCUGGUCUGAGAGGAUGAUCAGCCACACUGGAACUGAGACACGGUCCAGACUCCUACGGGAGGCAGCAGUGGGGAAUAUUGCACAAUGGGCGCAAGCCUGAUGCAGCCAUGCCGCGUGUAUGAAGAAGGCCUUCGGGUUGUAAAGUACUUUCAGCAGUGAGGAAGGGUGUGUAGUUAAUAGCUGCAUACUUUGACGUUAGCUGCAGAGGAAGCACCGGCUAACUCCGUGCCAGCAGCCGCGGUAAUACGGAGGGUGCGAGCGUUAAUCGGAAUUACUGGGCGUAAAGCGCAUGCAGGCGGUUUGUUAAGCAAGAUGUGAAAGCCCGGGGCUUAACCUCGGAAUAGCAUUUUGAACUGGCAAGCUAGAGUCCUGU
rnacentral:rRNA from 1 species